rnacentral:rRNA from 1 species
AUUGAACGCUGGCGGAAUGCUUUACACAUGCAAGUCGAGCGGCAGCGCGGGGCAACCUGGCGGCGAGCGGCGAACGGGUGAGUAAUGCAUCGGAACAUGUCCAUGUCGUGGGGGAUAGCCCGGCGAAAGCCGGAUUAAUACCGCAUACGCCCGAGAGAGGAAAGUGGGGGACCGCAAGGCCUCACGCGAUUGGGUUGGCCGAUGUCCGAUUAGCUAGUUGGCGGGGUAAGAGCCCACCAAGGCGAUGAUCGGUAGCUGGUCUGAGAGGAUGAUCAGCCACACUGGGACUGAGACACGGCCCAGACUCCUACGGGAGGCAGCAGUGGGGAAUUUUGGACAAUGGGGGCAACCCUGAUCCAGCCAUUCCGCGUGAGUGAAGAAGGCCUUCGGGUUGUAAAGCUCUUUUGUCCGGAACGAAACGGUUACGGUGAAUACCCGUGACUACUGACGGUACCGGAAGAAUAAGCACCGGCUAACUACGUGCCAGCCGCCGCAGUAACAC